CAGUGUCGGCAGCCCAGAACCCUGUCCAUCCCAGAGGACUGUGGGGAGGGGAGGGCUGGGCCAGCACCGAGGGAGACAGUGCUGGAGAGGAGCAGCUGAUUGAGAUUAAUCAGUCAGCAGCUGGCACUUUAUGCUGACUCUGGGGAGAGUCUCGCAGAUUCAGGUUUAAGCUGGAGAAGAGGAAGGAAGAGAAGAGACUAGUGGCAGGAAGAGGAGACAUCGUUUGCUGUCUUGGGGGGAGAAGGGAGACAGAAACACCAGACGAAGAAACCCUGAUCUUUUAACACGGUGGCUGGUGCCCCC